GAUGAACGCUAGCGGGAGGCUUAAUACAUGCAAGUCGGACGGUAACAGGUCUUCGGACGCUGACGAGUGGCGAACGGGUGCGUAACGCGUACACAACCUACCUUUUACUGGGGGAUAGUUUUGGGAAACUGGGAGUAAUACCCCAUUCGUUUGAGCUGCGGCAUCGCGGUUCAAAGAAAGGUUUACUGGUGAGAGAUGGGUGUGCGUCCAAUUAGGUAGUUGGUAGGGUAACGGCCUACCAAGCCGACGAUUGGUAGCUGGUCUGAGAGGAUGAUCAGCCACACGGGCACUGAGACACGGGCCCGACUCCUACGGGAGGCAGCAGUAGGGAAUAUUGGUCAAUGGACGGAAGUCUGAACCAGCCAUCCCGCGUGCAGGAAGAAGGAUCUUUGGUCUGUAAACUGCUUUUCUCAAGGAAGAGAGAUAGAGAUUAAUCUUUAGAGGACGGUACUUGAGGAAUAAGCACCGGCUAACUCCGUG
rnacentral:rRNA from 2 species